rnacentral:misc_RNA from 1 species
GAUGAAGAACGUAGUGAAAUGCGAUAAGUAAUGUGAAUUGCAGAAUUCAGUGAAUCAUCGAAACUUUGAACGCACCUUGCGCCCUUUGGUAUUCCGAAGGGCAUGCCUGUUUGAGUGUCAUGAAACCUCACCCCACUUGGGUUUUUGCCUGAGCGGUGGUGUAUUGGGUGUUGCCUUGCUAAAGGCUCGCCUUAAAGACAUAAGCACCUUGGAUGUAAUACGUUUCAUCCUUCUGGGUGGCUGAUAACCCCACAUAUUCAUGAUCUGGCCUCAAAUCAGGUAGGGCUACCCGCUGAACUUAAGCAUAUCAAUAAGCGGAGGA